UGGCAAUGAUGUCUGAAUUUCUUCACCUGAAUCCUCCGUGUGGAUUAAAACAUACGAGCUUUUUAACCCUGAGCAGA
ensembl:snoRNA SNORD36 Small nucleolar RNA SNORD36